UACGGAGGGUGCAAGCGUUAAUCGGAAUUACUGGGCGUAAAGCGCACGCAGGUGGCUGAGUCAGUCGAUUGUGAAAGCCCUGGGCUUAACCUAGGAAUUGCAGUCGAUACUACUCGGCUAGAGUAUGGGAGAGGGCAGUGGAAUUCCCGGUGUAGCGGUGAAAUGCGUAGAUAUCUGGAGGAACACCGGUGGCGAAGGCGGCAUCCUGGACCGGCAUUGACGCUGAGGAGCGAAAGCCAGGGGAGCAAACGGG
rnacentral:rRNA from 1 species